rnacentral:rRNA from 1 species
CGCGUAUCGUGCUGAGGGUCCCGUAAGAAUAAGGCAUUGGCUAACUCCGUGCCAGCAGCCGCGGUAAUACGGAGGAUGCGAGCGUUAUCCGGAUUCAUUGGGUUUAAAGGGUGCGCAGGCGGACUGAUAAGUCAGUGGUGAAAGCCUACAGCUUAACUGUAGAACUGCCAUUGAUACUGUCAAUCUUGAGUGUUGUUGAGGUAGGCGGAAUGUGUCAUGUAGCGGUGAAAUGCUUAGAUAUGACACAGAACACCGAUCGCGAAGGCAGCUUACCAAGCAACAACUGACGCUCAUGCACGAAAGCGUGGGGAUCAAACAGGAUUAGAUACCCUGGUAGUCCACGCCGUAAACGAUGAUCACUCGAUGUUGGCGAUACACAGUCAGCGUCUUAGGGAAACUAUUAAGUGAUCCACCUGGGGAGUACGGUCGCAAGAUUGAAACUCAAAGGAAUUGACGGGGGCCCGCACAAGCGGAGGAGCAUGUGGUUUAAUUCGAUGAUACGCGAGGAACCUUACCUGGGCUCGAACGUAGUAUGACAGUCGCGGAAACGUGAUGUUCUUCGGACAUACUACGAGGUGCUGCAUGGUUGUCGUCAGCUCGUGCCGUGAGGUGUCGGGUUAAGUCCCAUAACGAGCGCAACCCCUAUCUUUAGUUGCCAUCAGGUCAAGCUGGGGACUCUAAAGAAACUGCCUACGCAAGUAGUGAGGAAGGUGGGGAUGACGUCAAGUAAUCG